rnacentral:rRNA from 1 species
AACGAACGCUGGCGGCGCGCUUAACACAUGCAAGUCGAACGAGAAGGCGUAGCAAUACGCUUGUACAGUGGCGAACGGGUGAGUAAUACGUGGGCGACCUACCCUCGAGUGGGGAAGUAACCCGCCGAAAGGCGGGCUAAUGCCGCGUACGCUUCCAUCUUUAUGGAGGUGGAAGGGAAAGCCGUGCUGUGGGGCACGGCGCUCAAGGAUGGGCUCACGUCCUAUCAGCUUGUUGGA